GGGUUGUGAGGUUAAGCGACUAAGCGUACACGGUGGAUGCCCUGGCAGUCAGAGGCGAUGAAGGGCGUGCUAAUCUGCGAUAAGCGCCGGUAAGGUGAUAUGAACCGUUAUAACCGGCGAUACCCGAAUGGGGAAACCCAGUGUGAUUCGUCACACUAUCAUUAACUGAAUCCAUAGGUUAAUGAGGCGAACCGGGGGAACUGAAACAUCUAAGUACCCCGAGGAAAAGAAAUCAACCGAGAUUCCCCCAGUAGCGGCGAGCGAACGGGGAGGAGCCCAGAGCCUGAAUCAGCAUGUGUGUUAGUGGAAGCGUCUGGAAAGGCGCGCGAUACAGGGUGACAGCCCCGUACACAAAAGCGCAUGUGCUGUGAGCUCGAUGAGUAGGGCGGGACACGUGGUAUCCUGUCUGAAUAUGGGGGGACCAUCCUCCAAGGCUAAAUACUCCUGACUGACCGAUAGUGAACCAGUACCGUGAGGGAAAGGCGAAAAGAACCCCGGCGAGGGGAGUGAAAAAGAACCUGAAACCGUGUACGUACAAGCAGUGGGAGCACCCUUUGGGGUGUGACUGCGUACCUUUUGUAUAAUGGGUCAGCGACUUAUAUUCUGUAGCAAGGUUAACCGUAUAGGGGAGCCGGAGGGAAACCGAGUCUUAAUUGGGCGUUAAGUUGCAGGGUAUAGACCCGAAACCCGGUGAUCUAGCCAUGGGCAGGUUGAAGGUUGGGUAACACUAACUGGAGGACCGAACCGACUAAUGUUGAAAAAUUAGCGGAUGACCUGUGGCUGGGGGUGAAAGGCCAAUCAAACCGGGAGAUAGCUGGUUCUCCCCGAAAGCUAUUUAGGUAGCGCCUCGUGAAUUCAUCUCCGGGGGUAGAGCACUGUUUCGGCUAGGGGGCCAUCCCGGCUUACCAACCCGAUGCAAACUGCGAAUACCGGAGAAUGUUAUCACGGGAGACACACGGCGGGUGCUAACGUCCGUCGUGAAGAGGGAAACAACCCAGACCGCCAGCUAAGGUCCCAAAGUCAUGGUUAAGUGGGAAACGAUGUGGGAAGGCCCAGACAGCCAGGAUGUUGGCUUAGAAGCAGCCAUCAUUUAAAGAAAGCGUAAUAGCUCACUGGUCGAGUCGGCCUGCGCGGAAGAUGUAACGGGGCUAAACCAUGCACCGAAGCUGCGGCAGCGACACUGUGUGUUGUUGGGUAGGGGAGCGUUCUGUAAGCCUGUGAAGGUGUGUCGUGAGGCAUGCUGGAGGUAUCAGAAGUGCGAAUGCUGACAUAAGUAACGAUAAAGCGGGUGAAAAGCCCGCUCGCCGGAAGACCAAGGGUUCCUGUCCAACGUUAAUCGGGGCAGGGUGAGUCGACCCCUAAGGCGAGGCCGAAAGGCGUAGUCGAUGGGAAACGGGUUAAUAUUCCCGUACUUGGUGUUACUGCGAAGGGGGGACGGAGAAGGCUAUGUUGGCCGGGCGACGGUUGUCCCGGUUUAAGCGUGUAGGCUGGUUUUCCAGGCAAAUCCGGAAAAUCAAGGCUGAGGCGUGACGACGAGGCACUACGGUGCUGAAGCAACAAAUGCCCUGCUUCCAGGAAAAGCCUCUAAGCAUCAGGUAACACGAAAUCGUACCCCAAACCGACACAGGUGGUCAGGUAGAGAAUACCAAGGCGCUUGAGAGAACUCGGGUGAAGGAACUAGGCAAAAUGGUGCCGUAACUUCGGGAGAAGGCACGCUGACAUGUAGGUGAAGUGAUUUACUCAUGGAGCUGAAGUCAGUCGAAGAUACCAGCUGGCUGCAACUGUUUAUUAAAAACACAGCACUGUGCAAACACGAAAGUGGACGUAUACGGUGUGACGCCUGCCCGGUGCCGGAAGGUUAAUUGAUGGGGUCAGCGCAAGCGAAGCUCCUGAUCGAAGCCCCGGUAAACGGCGGCCGUAACUAUAACGGUCCUAAGGUAGCGAAAUUCCUUGUCGGGUAAGUUCCGACCUGCACGAAUGGCGUAAUGAUGGCCAGGCUGUCUCCACCCGAGACUCAGUGAAAUUGAACUCGCUGUGAAGAUGCAGUGUACCCGCGGCAAGACGGAAAGACCCCGUGAACCUUUACUAUAGCUUGACACUGAACAUUGAGCCUUGAUGUGUAGGAUAGGUGGGAGGCUUUGAAGUGUGGACGCCAGUCUGCAUGGAGCCGACCUUGAAAUACCACCCUUUAAUGUUUGAUGUUCUAACGUGGACCCGUAAUCCGGGUUGCGGACAGUGUCUGGUGGGUAGUUUGACUGGGGCGGUCUCCUCCUAAAGAGUAACGGAGGAGCACGAAGGUUGGCUAAUCCUGGUCGGACAUCAGGAGGUUAGUGCAAUGGCAUAAGCCAGCUUGACUGCGAGCGUGACGGCGCGAGCAGGUGCGAAAGCAGGUCAUAGUGAUCCGGUGGUUCUGAAUGGAAGGGCCAUCGCUCAACGGAUAAAAGGUACUCCGGGGAUAACAGGCUGAUACCGCCCAAGAGUUCAUAUCGACGGCGGUGUUUGGCACCUCGAUGUCGGCUCAUCACAUCCUGGGGCUGAAGUAGGUCCCAAGGGUAUGGCUGUUCGCCAUUUAAAGUGGUACGCGAGCUGGGUUUAGAACGUCGUGAGACAGUUCGGUCCCUAUCUGCCGUGGGCGCUGGAGAACUGAGGGGGGCUGCUCCUAGUACGAGAGGACCGGAGUGGACGCAUCACUGGUGUUCGGGUUGUCAUGCCAAUGGCACUGCCCGGUAGCUAAAUGCGGAAGAGAUAAGUGCUGAAAGCAUCUAAGCACGAAACUUGCCCCGAGAUGAGUUCUCCCUGAGACUUAGAGUCUCCUGAAGGAACGUUGAAGACGACGACGUUGAUAGGCCGGGUGUGUAAGCGCAGCGAUGCGUUGAGCUAACCGGUACUAAUGAACCGUGAGGCUUAACCUUACAACGCCGAAG
rnacentral:rRNA from 1 species